UUUUCCUACGGGAGGCAGCAGUGGGGAAUAUUGCCCAAUGGGCGCAAGCCUGAUGCAGCCAUGCCGCGUGUGUGAAGAAGGCCUUCGGGUUGUAAAGUACUUUCGUCGGGGAGGAAGGGGGUGAGAGUAUACCUUUGCUCCUGACGUUUCCCGCAGAAGAAACACCGGCUAACUCCGUGCCCAGCGCCCCGGGUAUAA
rnacentral:rRNA from 1 species